UACGGAGGGUGCGAGCGUUAAUCGGAAUUACUGGGCGUAAAGCGCGCGUAGGUGGCUUGAUAAGCCGGUUGUGAAAGCCCCGGGCUCAACCUGGGAACGGCAUCCGGAACUGUCAGGCUAGAGUGCAGGCGAGGAAGGUAGAAUUCCCCGUGUAGCGGUGAAAUGCGUAGAGAGCGGGAGGAAUACCAGUGGCGAAGGCGGCCUUCUGGACUGACACUGACACUGAGGUGCGAAAGCAUGUGGAGCAAACAUA
rnacentral:misc_RNA from 1 species